rnacentral:rRNA from 1 species
GAUGAACGCUGACAGCAUGCUUAACACAUGCAAGUCCACUUGAACUUCGGUUUGGGUGGCGGACGGGUGAGUAACGCGUAAAGAACUUGCCUCACAGAUAGGGACAACAUUUGGAAAAGAAUGCUAAUACCUGAUAUUAUGAUUAUAUGGCAUCGUAUAAUUAUGAAAGCUAUAUGCGCUGUGAGAGAGCUUUGCGUCCCAUUAGCUAGUUGGAGAGGUAACGGCUCACCAAGGCGAUGAUGGGUAGCCGGCCUGAGAGGGUGAUCGGCCACAAGGGGACUGAGACACGGCCCUUACUCCUACGGGAGGCAGCAGUGGGGAAUAUUGGACAAUGGACCAAGAGUCUGAUCCAGCAAUUCUGUGUGCACGAUGAAGUUUUUCGGAAUGUAAAGUGCUUUCAGUUGGGAAGAAAAAAAUGACGGUACCAACAGAAGAAGUGACGGCUAAAUACGUG